CCUGGCUCAGGAUGAACGCUGGCGGCGUGCCUAAUACAUGCAAGUCGAGCGAACAGAUGAGGAGCUUGCUCCUUUGACGUUAGCGGCGGACGGGUGAGUAACACGUGGGUAACCUACCUAUAAGACUGGGACAACUUCGGGAAACCGGAGCUAAUACCGGAUAAUAUGUUGAACCGCAUGGUUCAAUAGUGAAAGAUGGUUUUGCUAUCACUUAUAGAUGGACCCGCGCCGUAUUAGCUAGUUGGUGAGGUAACGGCUCACCAAGGCAACGAUACGUAGCCGACCUGAGAGGGUGAUCGGCCACACUGGAACUGAGACACGGUCCAGACUCCUACGGGAGGCAGCAGUAGGGAAUCUUCCGCAAUGGGCGAAAGCCUGACGGAGCAACGCCGCGUGAGUGAUGAAGGUCUUAGGAUCGUAAAACUCUGUUAUUAGGGAAGAACAAACGUGUAAGUAACUGUGCACGUCUUGACGGUACCUAAUCAGAAAGCCACGGCUAACUACGUG
rnacentral:rRNA from 1 species